rnacentral:lncRNA from 1 species
AAGAAUUUCUUGUUGACGAUGGCAAUAGUACUUAGCAAGAUGAGGAGGCAAUAGUACUUAGAAUUUCUCAUUUGCAAUAAGAUUACAGAUGAUGAAGAAAGAAAAAACAACAUUGCUAAACUUACUGUAAGUAACAUGAUCAGGAUGAUCAUGUCAUAUACUGGACAAAAAAAGCAAGUGACAAGUUGAAAUGCCCCUAUACAAAGUUAAUCAUCA